rnacentral:rRNA from 1 species
CCUACGGGAGGCAGCAGUGAGGAAUAUUGGUCAAUGGACGAGAGUCUGAACCAGCCAAGUAGCGUGAAGGAUGACUGCCCUCUGGGUUGUAAACUUCUUUUAUAUGGGAAUAAAAUGUUCCACGUGUGGGAUUUUGUAUGUACCAUAUGAAUAAGGAUCGGCUAACUCCGUGCCAGCAGCCGCGGUAAUACGGAGGAGCCGAGCGUUAUCCGGAUUUUUUGGGUUUAAAGGGAGCGUAGGUGGAUUGUUAAGUCAGUUGUGAAAGUUUGCGGCUCAACCGUAGAAUUGCAGUUGAAACUGGCAGUCUUGAGUACAGUAGAGGUGGGCGGAAUUCGUGGUGUAGCGGUGAAAUGCUUAGAUAUCACGAAGAACUCCGAUUGCGAAGGCAGCUCACUGGACUGCAACUGACACUGAGGCUCGAAAGUGUGGGUAUCAAACAGGAUUAGAUACCCCAGUAGUC